GGACAAAACUCUGGAAAGUAUAAUUAUACACCGAAGGGGCAAUCAUAGGAGAUUAUUGGCCUAAUGAGAAUCUCUCAGGUUAAAUGACAGAGGAUACCUG
rfam:Enterococcus sp. 3H8_DIV0648 scaffold00002, whole genome shotgun sequence.